rnacentral:rRNA from 1 species
CACGUAGGGCGCAAGCGUGUCCGGAAUUAUUGGGCGUAAAGAGCUCGUAGGCGGCUUGUCGCGUCGACUGUGAAAACCCGCGGCUCAACCGUGUGGUCUGCAGUCGAUACGGGCAGGCUAGAGUUCGGUAGGGGAGACUGGAAUUCCUGGUGUAGCGGUGAAAUGCGUAGAUAUCAAGAGGAACACCUGAGGUGAAGACGGGUUGCUGGGCUGACACUGACGCUGAGGCGCGAAAGCUAGGGUAGCAAACGGG